UCAGUUUUCAGUUGGACGUCACAGUAUUUCGAGCGAGUUCAGCACUGGUGGCUCAUCUCUGCGCUUCUUCGAAUGUCGCUUUUCGAAAAUUAAUGCCCUUUUUAGUUCCCAUCACUUUCGGUAUUUUCGCUUACACAAAACCGAGAUUUUAAAUCUGCUAUUAUACAUGACACGGCCGUUUAUCGGUUUUGACGAUCGAUUGUGCAGUGAAAAGUGAGCGGGUAUUGUUAUUCAACGAUGGAUUACUAUUAUGUUAAUAAGAGGUGACGGUGUCAUGGCCUGGCAUGGAAAAAUUAGGCCUGGUUUAUUACUUUUGCUUUUUUCGUUCGUUGUUAUAUCGGAGGCGACGGCAAAAGCUUUGGAACAAUACCGGUAUGAAACAGCAUACGCGUGUGAAGGGAAAACAUUGAAAAUUGAAUGCAAGGAUGGUGAACUGAUUAAGCUGAUUAGAGCCAAUUAUGGGAGAUUUUCGAUAACAAUUUGCAACGACCACGGCAACACGGAUUGGAGCGUAAACUGCAUGUCUCCAAAGUCAUUGAGGGUACUUCAUGCCAGGUGUACGCAUUAUCAAAACUGCAGUAUACCAGCGAUUACAAGCAUGUUCGGAGACCCCUGUCCUGGGACACAUAAAUAUUUAGAAGCUCAUUAUCAGUGUCUACCCGCGACUACAACUACAACAACAAGCCGUCCAAGUCCACCAUGGCUGAUAACAUCUCAGCCACCCAUGUGGAGUACCAUUAAAACUCAACCACCUCGUCCUGCGACUACAAAGGUUACCAUAAGUCCCCCGUCUCCCAUUCCUGGGCCAAUUCCCUCCUCGACUUCCGUCAAUGUGCCCACAUCUACCUCAAAAGGCUACCAAGACCUCCCUGUUGAUAACAGUGGAGGUGCGAAAGACCAUGAUGUUUGGAGUUGGGAACCGAAAGAACCCAAUAAGUUCGACAGUACUACGUUGCCUGUGGCAACAAUAACUCCCAAUGAGAAUUCCAGUAAACGACUACCGACAUCAGAUGCCACGUCUACAUUCACAUACUCACCGUCGAUUCCCAGUAUUUAUCCCUGGCCAAAAGACUCUGAGUAUCUUCCUUACCAUUGUAAUUCAACAACAGUUAGAAAUAUAUUUUGGAAAAGUAUCCAUGUGAAUGAGACAGCGAUUCAGCCUUGUCCUCCAGGUACCACUGGGUUUGCCAAGUGGCAUUGCUCGGAUGUGGCGUCUUCUAACUACCCAGAAUGGGUUCCAAUUAAUCCAGACUUGAGCGAAUGUCGAUCAGUCUGGCUUACCAGCCUCGAGCAAAGACUAGUCUUAGGCAAAGACCUGUUAAUGUCAAUCAUCCGAGAUUUGUCUACAGUAACUGGUAGCAAGACACUCUACGGUGGAGACAUGGCUAUUACGACCAAGAUUAUACAAAAAAUGACUGAAAAGAUGUCCCAAGACAUCCAAACGUUUCCCGACACCCGACAAAGGGAAGAAAUCGUGACGGAAAUGUUAGGAUACGUAACAAAGACUAGUAGUAAUCUCUUAGAUGCUACCCAGUAUUCUUCAUGGAGGGAUUUAAGCUAUAAGGAACAAAUGGGCGUCGCUACGUCGCUGCUCAUUGGACUGGAAGAAAACGCUUUUUUGUUAGCGGAUACUGUAACUAGUCAGAAAACUGUAAAUAGAAAGGAGAAAAACAUAUUGCUUUCUGUGAGAGUUUUGGAUACGAAAUUUUUAUCCGAUGAAACAUUUCCUUCUGAGGACAGAACUAGUAUCUGGAAUGCCAGCAGCGAUUCAAUAGAAUUGCCCAAAGAAGCUUUAUUGGAAAACAGCGAUGGUAAUCUUGUUCGGCUUGUUUUCGUCGCAUUCGACAGACUGGAAGAGAUUCUGCAGUGGCAGCCAGACAGUGCUGAUCAUGGAAAUAAUAUUACCAAAAUACUGAACAGUAAAGUAAUAUCAGCCAGCCUUGGAAAAGGGCGGCAUAUUCAGCUGAAAGAGCCUGUAAGACUGACCUUGAAACAUAUAAAAAUAGAGAAUGUCAGUAACCCAAAAUGCGUUUUUUGGGAUUACACUAUGAAUUCUUGGUCAGAAGAAGGCUGCCACGUGGACACGUCAGAUUCGAAUUAUACCCACACAGUGUGUUAUUGCGAUCAUCUGACUAACUUUGCAAUUCUGAUGGACGUUCAUGAUAUUUACCUCCCGAUAUCUCAUGAAAUUGCUCUUCAAGUGAUUACCUACGUGGGAUGUAUCAUAUCGAUUAUUUGUCUAAUACUUGCCAUUGUCACGUUUCAGUUAUUUCGCGGGCUCAAGAGCGACAGAACAACGAUACACUGUAACCUAUGUACAUGCCUCCUCAUAGCCGAAUUCGUAUUUUUGGUUGGAAUAAACCAAACCGAAAAUAAAAUUUCUUGUGGGAUUAUUGCUGGUGUUUUACAGUAUUUCUUCCUAUGUGCAUUCGUCUGGAUGUUCUUUGAAGGUUUUCAAUUAUACGUGAUGUUAAUUGAGGUAUUUGAGGUUGAAAAAUCGAGACUACGUUGGUACUAUAUAUUUGCAUAUGGCCUGCCAUUUUUAAUAGUAUUUGCAUCAGCAACAAUAUAUCCGCAGGGCUACGGUACAAUGAGGCAUUGUUGGCUAAGAACCGACAAUUACUUCAUCUAUACCUUCGUAGGGCCUGUCUUUCUAGUAAUGAUGCUGAAUGUCAUAUUUUUGACAAUGGCAAUAGUAAUGAUGUGCAGGCAUGCAAGCGCUUCUGUGUCCAUGAAAAAUAAAGAACAAUCCCGUCUUGCUAGCACGAGUGGAAAGGAAGAAAGUGCACUUCGAAUGAGAUUUGACUUGGCAUGGUUGAAAGGAGCUUUCGUUCUAGUUUUCCUACUAGGAUUGACUUGGAUUUUCGGAUUUUUAUACGUUAACCAGGAAUCAGUUGCGAUGGCGUAUUUGUUUGCCACUUUCAAUUCCUUCCAAGGCUUCUUUAUAUUCGUGUUCCAUUGCGUUCAGAAUGAAAAGGUGCGAAAAGAGUAUCGCAAAUUUAUUCGAAAGCAUUCCUGGCUGCCAAAGUGUCUUAGAUGUUCGAAGUCAAGCAGCGGCCCUGGUGGUAGCAGCAGUGGGAACAGUGGCAGCUGCACGACUUCAGGCGGCGCUGGCAAAGAAAGGAGACCCAGUCUAUAUGGUUCCAACGGGAACCCGUCGGGAGGAGCUAACACACAUAUAACGGACAAUUCCGUGUUAACUCCUCACGGAACAAGUGUGGGUACCAAUAGCAACAACAGUAUAGUGAUCUCGAAUAAUCUAAAUAACGCGCGCCCUACGGCACUAGUGCAGAUUUUGUCUAGAACCGAUCUGAACAAUGCUAGUACCACCAUGACCAACCACAAUCGACAGCAUAACGUGUCCCAACAAGUUGCAACGAGGUUGGAACUCCCAGAGCUGUACGAACGUGAAUCGGGCUUGUCGCACACCUGUACCCACAUCUACGUCGGCCAACAUGGCUGCUACUCUUUGUCGCCCCCCUCGUCUCACAGAUUCCGUUCCAUCUCCCGACCUAGAAGCCCCUAACACUUCCACGCUUCCUUACAUUCGCAAUUUCUAUAAAAACUCCACCGUUAAUCCUAACAUCCCUAAAUCGGUCUCAACUUGGGGUCCCCUGCACAAACCCUUACACUGGAAGAACAUUUCUUUUAAGUCGUACAGCCGUGAUUCUGGACAUGGAGGGUCGGAGCAAGAAGAAUCGCCUAGGUCACAUAUGAUUAUAGCAGAAGCACACCGUCACUCAUCUGCGCUAGCUAAGGAAGCGCCACGACAAGCCCCAAAUAGUCAACAGAGUGGUUUUUCGGAUUAUGGAAUGCGACAAGUUUCACAACAGGCCCACUGUGUUGCUACAGGAAGAAAGAAGCUGAAUUCUGCUAAACCUCAUCACUGGGGUCACCAUACAUAUACUGAAAUAUAUGACGGACAGAAUCCGAGAGGAUUGUUAACAGCAGAGGAUGAUCCUGUUUACGAGGAGAUUGAUCGAAAUGAAAUCCAAGUGAGCGAUAUGAGCGAUGAAGACGCAAAAAGGCAAAGCGACAUGAGUAGACAAAGUUC
rnacentral:misc_RNA from 1 species